rnacentral:rRNA from 1 species
AUUGAACGCUGGCGGCAGGCCUAACACAUGCAAGUCGAGCGAGCGGCGGACGGGUGAGUAAUGUAUGGGAAUGUGCCUGAUGGAGGGGGAUAACUACUGGAAACGGUAGCUAAUACCGCAUAGCAUCGGAUGGGCCCAUAUGGGAUUAGCUAGUGGGUGGGGUAACGGCUUACCUAGGCGACGAUCCCUUACUGGUCUGAGAGGAUGAUCAGCCACACUGGGACUGAGACACGGCCCAGACUCCUACGGGAGGCAGCAGUGGGGAAUAUUGGACAAUGGGCGAAAGCCUGAUGCAGCCAUGCCGCGUGUAUGAAGAAGGCCUUCGGGUUGUAAAGUACUUUCAGUCGGGAGGCGUUACCAACAGAAGAAGCACCGGCUAACUCCGUGCCAGCAGCCGCGGUAAUUC